CCAGACUCCUACGGGAGGCAGCAGUAGGGAAUCUUCGGCAAUGGACGAAAGUCUGACCGAGCAACGCCGCGUGAGUGAAGAAGGUUUUCGGAUCGUAAAACUCUGUUGGUAGAGAAGAACGUUGGUGAGAGUGGAAAGCUCAUCAAGUGACGGUAACUACCCAGAAAGGGACGGCUAACUACGUGCCAGCAGCCGCGGUAAUACGUAGGUCCCGAGCGUUGUCCGGAUUUAUUGGGCGUAAAGCGAGCGCAGGUGGUUUAUUAAGUCUGGUGUAAAAGGCAGUGGCUCAACCAUUGUAUGCAUUGGAAACUGGUAGACUUGAGUGCAGGAGAGGAGAGUGGAAUUCCAUGUGUAGCGGUGAAAUGCGUAGAUAUAUGGAGGAACACCGGUGGCGAAAGCGGCUCUCUGGCCUGUAACUGACACUGAGGCUCGAAAGCGUGGGGAGCAAACAGGAUUAGAUACCCUGGUAGUCCGCGCCGUAAACGAUGAGUGCUAGAUGUAGGGAGCUAUAAGUUCUCUGUAUCGCAGCUAACGCAAUAAGCACUCCGCCUGGGGAGUACGACCGCAAGGUUGAAACUCAAAGGAAUUGACGGGGGCCCGCACAAG
rnacentral:rRNA from 1 species